rnacentral:rRNA from 1 species
UGAGCAAUCUGCCCUUCUCAUCGGAAUAAGCGUUGGAAACGACGUCUAAUGCCGAAUACGACCUCCUUUCGCAUGAUCGGAGGUGGAAAGCUCCGGCGGAGAAGGAUGAGCUCGCGGCCUAUCAGCUUGUUGGUGAGGUAAUAGCUCACCAAGGCGACGACGGGUAGCCGGCCUGAGAGGGUGACCGGCCACAUUGGGACUGAGACACGGCCCAAACUCCGUACGGGAGCAG